rnacentral:misc_RNA from 1 species
CAACCCUUAAGCCUAGCUUAGUGUUGGGAAUUUACAGUUAUGUAAUUCCUGAAAUACAACGGCGGAUCUGUGGUAUCCUCUGAGCGUAGUAAAUUAUUUCUCGCUUUUGUUAGGUGCUGCAGCUCCCAGCCGCUAAACCCCCAAUUUUUUGU